rnacentral:rRNA from 1 species
UGCAAGUCGAACGGUAACAUGAGUGCUUGCACUUGAUGACGAGUGGCGGACGGGUGAGUAAAGUAUGGGGAUCUGCCGAAUGGAAGGGGACAACAGUUGGAAACGACUGCUAAUACCGUAUAAUGUCGCGAGACCAAAGCAUGGGACUUUCGGGCCAUGCGCCAUUUGAUGAACCCAUAUGGGAUUAGCUAGUAGGUGGGGUAAAGGCUCACCUAGGCGACGAUCUCUAGCUGGUCUGAGAGGAUGACCAGCCACACUGGAACUGAGACACGGUCCAGACUCCUACGGGAGGCAGCAGUGGGGAAUAUUGCACAAUGGGGGGAACCCUGAUGCAGCCAUGCCGCGUGUAUGAAGAAGGCCUUCGGGUUGUAAAGUACUUUCGGUGAUGAGGAAGGUAAUGUAUCUAAUAGGUGCAUUAAUUGACGUUAAUCACAGAAGAAGCACCGGCUAACUCCGUGCCAGCAGCCGCGGUAAUACGGAGGGUGCGAGCGUUAAUCGGAAUGACUGGGCGUAAAGGGCAUGUAGGCGGAUAAUUAAGUUAGGUGUGAAAGCCCUGGGCUCAACCUAGGAAUUGCACUUAAAACUGGUUAACUAGAGUAUUGUAGAGGAAGGUAGAAUUCCACGUGUAGCGGUGAAAUGCGUAGAGAUGUGGAGGAAUACCGGUGGCGAAGGCGGCCUUCUGGACAGAUACUGACGCUGAGAUGCGAAAGCGUGGGGAGCAAACAGGAUUAGAUACCCUGGUAGUCCACGCUGUAAACGAUGUCGAUUUGGAGUUUGUUGCCUAGAGUGAUGGGCUCCGAAGCUAACGCGAUAAAUCGACCGCCUGGGGAGUACGGCCGCAAGGUUAAAACUCAAAUGAAUUGACGGGGGCCCGCACAAGCGGUGGAGCAUGUGGUUUAAUUCGAUGCAACGCGAAGAACCUUACCUGGUCUUGACAU